CCCCCCUCCGCGCACUUUCUCUUUUCAUUCCGUCUCCUCUAUUGAGAAAGGGAAAUGUUGAAAGGGAAAAGGAGAUUUGCCCCAGGGUGUCUAGGAAGAGAAAUUCAACAGAAUAUGAGUAUGCACGGCUGACGAAGCCCGGUUUGGGCGAAACAUGGUUAUUAUCCCGGAAUCCUUGUGUCAUACCUUCAAGUUUUCCAUCUGAGCCGAUAUCUACAUACAAGGAGCGUUAGAAUCCUUAAAGCAGCGAUACGUGGAACAUCCUAAGAUAAGCAUACCAUAUUGUGGUUAAUAUUGCCAAUAUGCCAAUUUAGGAACCGAAUGGACUUUUACCUCCUUACCGUCCAAUGGACUUUAAUUUCCCUUGAUAUGCUCUGUUUGCAUGAUGUGUUGGUCUAUGGAAUUACACUUUGUGAGAUAUUGUUUGUUGAAUUGUGUUUGAAAUGGAAGUUAGUUAAAAACAGUCUGUUAAGUUGUGUGUGUUGUUACCAGGAAUUCAACAGGUGCAGCAGCUGUCUAUUUAAACCUGGCUAUUUAGGCCCCUCCCCUGUUUAUAAAUAAAAUAAUAAUAAAAAUUCAUUUUAUAAAUAAAAUAAUUUUAAAAAUCAA